rnacentral:rRNA from 1 species
UCUGGUGGUUAUUACGAGAAGGUCACACCCGUUCCCAUACCGAACACGGCAGUUAAGCUUCUCAGUGUCGAUGAUACUUGGAUGGAAGCGUCCCGGGAAAGUAGAUCGCCGCCAGAU